CCUACGGGUGGCAGCAGUGGGGAAUAUUGCGCAAUGGGCGAAAGCCUGACGCAGCGACGCCGCGUGUGGGAUGAAGGUCUUCGGAUUGUAAACCACUGUCGGGAGGGACGAAGCUCUGACGGUACCUCCAAAGGAAGCACCGGCUAACUCUGUGCCAGCAGCCGCGGUAAUACAGAGGGUGCAAGCGUUGUCCGGAAUCACUGGGCGUAAAGGGCGCGUAGGCGGCCCGGUAAGUAGGGGGUGAAAUCCUGGGGCUCAACCUCAGGACUGCCUUCUAGACUGCCAGGCUUGAGCACGGUAGAGGCUGGUGGAAUUCCCGGUGUAGCGGUGGAAUGCGUAGAGAUCGGGAAGAACAUCGGUGGCGAAGGCGGCCAGCUGGGCCGUUGCUGACGCUGAGGCGCGACAGCGUGGGGAGCAAACAGGAUUAGAUACCCUGGUAGUC
rnacentral:rRNA from 1 species